UGAGGCAGGAGAAUUGCUUGAACCCAGGAGGUGGAGGUUGCAGUGAGCCGAGAUCGUGCCACUGUACUCUAGCCUGGGUGACAGAGCGAGACUCCA
ensembl:miRNA